CAGUAGCCACGGUAAUACAGAGGGUGCGAGCGUUAAUCGGAUUUACUGGGCGUAAAGCGUGCGUAGGCGGCUUUUUAAGUCGGAUGUGAAAUCCCUGAGCUUAACUUAGGAAUUGCAUUCGAUACUGGGAAGCUAGAGUAUGGGAAAGGAUGGUAGAAUUCCAGGUGUAGCGGUGAAAUGCGUAGAGAUCUGGAGGAAUACCGAUGGCGAAGGCAGCCAUCUGGCCUAAUACUGACGCUGAGGUACGAAAGCAUGGGGAGCAAACAGGAUUAGAUACCCGUGUAGUCCCUGUCUCUUAUAC
rnacentral:rRNA from 1 species